rnacentral:rRNA from 1 species
AACGAACGCUGGCGGCAGGCUUAACACAUGCAAGUCGAGCGCCCCGCAAGGGGAGCGGCAGACGGGUGAGUAACGCGUGGGAAUCUACCCAUCUCUACGGAAUAACGCAUGGAAACGUGUGCUAAUACCGUAUACGUCCUUCGGGAGAAAGAUUUAUCGGAGAUGGAUGAGCCCGCGUUGGAUUAGCUAGUUGGUGGGGUAAAGGCCUACCAAGGCGACGAUCCAUAGCUGGUCUGAGAGGAUGAUCAGCCACACUGGGACUGAGACACGGCCCAGACUCCUACGGGAGGCAGCAGAGGGGAAUAUUGGACAAUGGGCGCAAGCCUGAUCCAGCCAUGCCGCGUGAGUGAUGAAGGCCUUCGGGUUGUAAAGCUCUUUCGCACACGACGAUGAUGACGGUAGUGUGAGAAGAAGCCCCGGCUAACUUCGUGCCAGCAGCCGCGGUAACAC